GCUUGGAUAAUUCAGCUGGUAGAACAUAAGACUCUUAAUUUCGGGAUUGGGGGUUCAAGCCCCACAUUAGGUG